GUAGAUGCUCAUUCCACCUCUUAUGUUUGCUGAUGCAACAUAAACCUGGGAAUGAUGCAGAGCCAAUUUUUAGGUACCUGUUGUCUGCCUGCCUGUAUCGCGAAAGUCUUACAGGGUUAACAGACACCACGUUGAGUCAGGUACCUCCCGGUUGUCUUACCGACCUGAUCUUGCACCUGCCUAUGGCAGGUGUUUUUUU
rnacentral:sRNA from 3 species